GCUCCUCUAAUCAACACUCAUGGGGUUUUGAAGAUGCUUGAAGGGGGUGAAGAAAGAAAAAGAAGAUCAUCCAUGGGAAGCUUGGGAGGAAUUGGAGAAAGCUAGGAGAAAGACAAGGAUGGAACUAGGGUCGAAACGAGAACAUCGUCCUAUUACCACCGGGAACUGAUCACUGCACUCCACCUGGAGGUCAGUUUUAACCCAUGGCAUCCGUGCCACUUUUGUCAACCUCAGAGUAUCCAGGCACUUAAGUGAAGGCAACCCUUUUUGCUAAACUUUUGAUUUUACACUCUAAUUAUUUGCUUAAGGUUGAUGUAUAUAUAAUUCCUUUGCCUGUCCAUGUUGUUUUACGCCCAAUUCUAAGGGCUGGGUCUGUAUAUAUAUAUGUACAUAACUAACUCUCUAGUACACGUCACUGUAUAUUUAUUUGCCUUAUGUUCUGUCUGUGAUCCUGGCAUGAUAGUGGUCGCUCAAUGGAUGCAGUUCUUUUAUUUAUGUUAAUUUAUAUUGGUAAAUGCUUCCGUUCAGGCCCCAUAUGAUAUGUAUACCAGGUUAUGCGUCCGUUUCUGUGUAGGUCAUGCCCAAACUUUUAGGGGCAAGUUU